GCGAAGGAAAUUUGGGACACUUUGAUUGAUAUGCACGAAGGUACCGACUUCGUCAGGGAAUCCAAGUUGGAUGUGCUUCAAAGCCAACUUGACAAGUUCAAUAUGAAGGAUGGUGAAGGUGUCGCUGAAAUGUACUCUAGGCUUGCUCUCAUCACAAAUGAGAUUGCCGGCUUAGGAAGUGAAGAGAUGACCGACAGAUUCAUCAUCAAGAAGAUUCUUAGAGCCUUGGAUGGAAAAUAUGAUACCGUGUGCACAUUGAUCCAAAUGAUGCCCAAUUACAAAGAUCUCAAGCCAACGGAGGUGAUUGGAAGAAUUGUUGCUCAUGAGAUGUCACUUAAGGAUAAAGAGGAACUUCACAACAAAUCAAGUGGUGCCUAUAAAGCCUCAUGUGAAGCCCCUACAUCAUCAAGUGAGAAACAAGACUUCAAUGAAGAAUUGAGCUUAAUGGUGAAGAACUUCAACAAGUUCUACAAGAGUAGAAGCAAAGAUAGAAGCUUCAAGUCA
rnacentral:rRNA from 1 species